rnacentral:rRNA from 1 species
AUUGAACGCUGGCGGCAUGCCUUACACAUGCAAGUCGAACGGCAGCGCGGGAGCAAUCCUGGCGGCGAGUGGCGAACGGGUGAGUAAUACAUCGGAACGUGCCCAAUCGUGGGGGAUAACGCAGCGAAAGCUGUGCUAAUACCGCAUACGAUCUACGGAUGAAAGCAGGGGAUCGCAAGACCUUGCGCGUAUGGAGCGGCCGAUGGCAGAUUAGGUAGUUGGUGAGGUAAAGGCUCACCAAGCCUUCGAUCUGUAGCUGGUCUGAGAGGACGACCAGCCACACUGGGACUGAGACACGGCCCAGACUCCUACGGGAGGCAGCAGUGGGGAAUUUUGGACAAUGGGCGAAAGCCUGAUCCAGCCAUGCCGCGUGCAGGAUGAAGGCCUUCGGGUUGUAAACUGCUUUUGUACGGAACGAAACGGUCUUUUCUAAUAAAGAAGGAUAAUGACGGUACCGUAAGAAUAAGCACCGGCUAACUACGUG